rnacentral:rRNA from 1 species
GACAGAGGGUGCAAACGUUGUUCGGAAUUACUGGGCGUAAAGCGCGUGUAGGCUGCUUCGCAAGUCGGAUGUGAAAGCCCUGGGCUCAACCCAGGAAGUGCAUUCGAAACUGCAGAGCUGGAGUCCUGGAGAGGAAGGCGGAAUUCUCGGUGUAGAGGUGAAAUUCGUAGAUAUCGAGAGGAACACCGGUGGCGAAGGCGGCCUUCUGGACAGUGACUGACGCUGAGACGCGAAAGCGCGGGGAGCAAACAGG